CAGGUGAUUCAGAUGACUCUAGCAGCUUCGUUGAGAACUUAUUAAACACGUUGAAGUUGGUUUUAGAUAGUAUUGGAAUCAGGGUGUGACAAGCCUGUUUAAUCGUUUUAAUGGUCGAGUAGAGAAGAAUUUCCUUCUUUGCCACAUGUUACAUUUUAUUGACAGUUUAGAUAGCCUUAUUUUCUGUUGUGGGCUAUUCAGGACGGAAGGAUAAAUGAAGUUCAGUAUCAAUGGCAUGUUCUUGAAAGCUAGGAGGGCAUAAUGACAACUAUAUCCUGUUAUGACGAAGUUAAGAUAGAGAUGGAACUAGAAGAGCUGUCAACUUUCCGUUGUAUCUACAUUAGUCGAGUACACGAACGUGCAUGUUUGGCAUGGGGGACAAUUUUGUAUGCUAAAAUCGCUCAUUGUCUUCUUUGUACGUUGUGAUCGUCUGUGGAAUGUAGAAAAGAAAGUCGAGUACAUGCAGUAUUUUAAAGAAAAGAGUGACUGCUCAUCAACUACAACGAAGGUGCGUCCGUUAGUCUUGUUGCGGCUUUCUUGUUUAGUCAAGAAGUUCGA